rnacentral:rRNA from 1 species
GGGCGUAAAGCGCAUGCAGGUGAUUUGUUAAGUCAGAUGUGAAAGCCCGGGGCUCAACCUCGGAAAUUUGCAUUUUGAAAACUGGCAAACUAGAGUACUGUAGAGGGGGUAGAAUUUCAGGUGUAGCGGUGAAAUGCGUAGAGAUCUGAAGGAAUACCGGUGGCGAAGGCGGCCCCCUGGACAGAUACUGACACUCAGANUGCGAAAGCGUGGGAGCAAACAGGAUUAGAUACCCUGGUAG